UGGCUCUGGCAUCGAUGAAGAACGCAGCGAAAUGCGAUAAGUAAUGUGAAUUGCAGAAUUCAGUGAACCAUCGAAUCUUUGAACGCACAUUGCGCCCGCCAGCACCCUGGCGGGCAUGCCUGUCCGAGCGUCAUUCUCACCCCUCGGGCCCCCCUCCGGGGCCCGGUGUUGGGGGCCGGCCCAGGCCGCCCCCGAAACGCAGUGGCGACCCCAGCCGCGGCCCCCCGUGCGCAGUAGAACGCUAAGGAAAGCUCGCACCGGGGCGCGGACGGCGGUCACGCCGUGAAACGCCCGCCCCAGGCACCCCUGGAGUUGACCUCGGAUCAGGUAGGGAUACCCGCUGA
rnacentral:misc_RNA from 1 species